rnacentral:rRNA from 1 species
CACGUAGUUAGCCGGUGCUUCUUAUCUAGGUACCGUCACAAAAGCUUCGUCCCUAGCGAAAGGAGUUUACAACCCGAAGGCCGUCAUCCCCCACGCGGCGUCGCUGCAUCAGGCUUGCGCCCAUUGUGCAAUAUUCCCCACUGCUGCCUCCCGUAGGAGUCUGGGCCGUAUCUCAGUCCCAAUGUGGCCGUCCACCCUCUCAGGCCGGCUACCCGUCGCCGCCUUGGUAGGCCAUUACCCCACCAACAAGCUGAUAGGCCGCGAGCUCAUCCUACACCGAAAAAACUUUCCAACCAUCACACUAAAAAUGGCUCCUAUCCGGUAUUAGACCCAGUUUCCCAGGCUUAUCCCGAAGUGCAGGGCAGAUCACCCACGUGUUACUCACCCGUUCGCCACUCGAGUACCCUGCAAGCAGGGCCUUUCCGUUCGACUUGCAUGUGUUAAGCACGCCGCCAGCGUUCGUCCUGAGCCAGGAUCAAACUCU